AUUGAACGCUGGCGGCAUGCCUUACACAUGCAAGUCGAACGGCAGCGGGGGAGAAGCUUGCUUUUCCUGCCGGCGAGUGGCGAACGGGUGAGUAAUACAUCGGAACGUGCCUUUCAGUGGGGGAUAACGUAGCGAAAGUUACGCUAAUACCGCAUAUUCUCUGAGGAGGAAAGCAGGGGACCUUCGGGCCUUGCGCUGAUAGAGCGGCCGAUAUCAGAUUAGCUAGUUGGUGGGGUAAAGGCCUACCAAGGCGACGAUCUGUAGCGGGUCUGAGGGGAUGAUCCGCCACACUGGGACUGAGACACGGCCCAGACUCCUACGGGAGGCAGCAGUGGGGAAUUUUGGACAAUGGGCGAAAGCCUGAUCCAGCCAUGCCGCGUGAGUGAAGAAGGCCUUCGGGUUGUAAAGCUCUUUCGGCCGGGAAGAAAUCGCACAGGCUAAUACCUUGUGUGGAUGACGGUACCGGAAUAAGAAGCACCGGCUAACUACGUGCCAGCAGCCGCCGUAA
rnacentral:rRNA from 1 species